GGGCCCAUAGCUCAGCGGCAGAGCGGCCGGCUCAUAACCGGUUGGUCCUUGGUUCGAAUCCAGGUGGGCCCA
rnacentral:tRNA from 1 species